UGCUGGGAUUACAGGCUUGAGCCACUGCGCCUGGCAGAUGCCACAAUUUUUUUUUCUUUCUUUACACAGGUGCUGAUGAACUCAGGUGUAAUUAACCCUAAGGGGUAAAUUAUUCACUAAGUGCAGUAAUAGGGUCCAAUUUUUAUGACCAGGUUUUCAGUUCUUUGAUAUUGUCCUACAUUCAGAAAUCACAAAUGAAAAAUACUGGAAUGUGUGACGUGAACAAUGUCUUGGAGGUUAACAUCCAGGUUUUUACAUAUUAGAUGUAACAACAUGAAAGCUGGUACCAUCUGGGAACCAAAGGAACUGUCCCUGAGAACACAGAAUUUUAGGGACAUCAAUUAUUAAGAGUUUACAUGGAAGCAGAAGUGCUCCUAGAUGUUUCCAUUAUCUAGAUAGAAAAAUUCAACAGAUGAGCCCCAGUGAGUCAAGGAACAUCUCUGACAGCUGUGGGUGAUGGGCUUUCUAUCCAAAGCAGAGAUGUGAAACCUGACGGGUUUCAAUUGACCCCGAAGUGCUCCAUAUCUCAAAAGUCAAUCCCACAAAGCUGGAACGCUAUCUGUUCCUGAGGGAUCAGGUCCCACCUGUGUCUCUAAGACACUGCCUUGAGAUGAGGCCGAUGAUUUCAAACGUAAAUUGCCUAAAUUAUCAUCAGCUUCAUGUUGUGUUUUGGAGCUUGUCCACUUAAGUGGGUUGAUAAAAAAUGGCUCACAAGACACAUGCCUGGGAAAUGGGGUUUUCUUCUUUGCUCUUGGCAGAUCCUGGGCAACCCUAUAAUUAACCUUCUUGAUUUCUCAAUUUUCACAUUCGCGAAAAAGGUGCCAGUGCGCGUGACAUUUCCCUGAAGCCACAGCCCUUGUCACCCCCUGCAAAGCUCUGAAGUUGUGCACAGGUAGGCCAGGUGGCAGAUUUCUCUCAAAAGCGGCUGAGCUCGCGCUCUGGCUAGGGAAGGCAGAGGCCUGCGGCACAAAGUACAUUGUCUUAGACAUCAGGACAGUGUCUAUAGCAGUUUAGGAAAGAAGGCGGCUCCCUGGGCUGGAGACGACGCAAUGCUCUGGGAAGACCCCUGGGUGCGGGUGAGAGAGGAAUCCGAGCUGCACAAGGCCAAUGAGGGGAGGACGACCCGCCCGAUUUAGAUAAAGGUAACAAGAAAUUUCAGCUUCCGGCAUGAUGGGCGAAGGCCCCCACCUUCAGCCUCGCUCCUCCAUGCCUUCAGAGCUGUUCCGCCAUGCAGACGGGGAGCCUGCCUGUUCUUUAACCUCUCCUACCUGAUGGGAGAGGACAAGCUACCAGGACAGCUUGUCUCACCAAGAAAUUGUGAUACCGCAUCCCCCAACGUGCUGGCUUCCUGACUUCCAAAGUUGCGGCAAGGUAAGAAGAACUACAGAGGAAGAACCUAAUGCAGACGUUUCCCAGGAGACUUUAACUGAAGUAUCAGCAAACUGAAAGCUAGGACGCUUCAGACAUACCAGUGGGCCUAACCUUUUUCACAAGGAGCUCUGGCCUGGCCAACAAGAAUCACCUUUGGUGCUUCAGUGCAGUGUCACCAUCACCUGUUUGAAAUGCAGCCAGGUAACAUGUACCAUUUUAUUUGCUUUCAGUAUCACAGUCUAUCUUCUAAUAAGAAACCUAGGCCUCUGGCUGGGUGUGGUGGCUUACACCUGUAACCCAGCACUUUGAGAGGCUGAGGUGGGUGGAUCACUUGAGGUCAGG
rnacentral:lncRNA from 1 species